rnacentral:rRNA from 1 species
GACGAACGCUGGCGGCGUGCCUAAUACAUGCAAGUUGAGCGAUGAAGAUUGGUGCUUGCACCAAUUUGAAGAGCAGCGAACGGGUGAGUAACGCGUGGGGAAUCUGCCUUUGAGCGGGGGACAACAUUUGGAAACGAAUGCUAAUACCGCAUAACAACUUUAAACAUAAGUUUUAAGUUUGAAAGAUGCAAUUGCAUCACUCAAAGAUGAUCCCGCGUUGUAUUAGCUAGUUGGUGAGGUAAAGGCUCACCAAGGCGAUGAUACAUAGCCGACCUGAGAGGGUGAUCGGCCACAUUGGGACUGAGACACGGCCCAAACUCCUACGGGCGGCAGCAGUAGGGAAUCUUCGGCAAUAGACGAAAGUCUGACCGAGCAACGCCGCGUGAGUGAAGAAGGUUUUCGGAUCGUAAAACUCUGUUGGUAGAGAAGAACGUUGGUGAGAGUGGAAAGCUCAUCAAGUGACGGUAACUACCCAGAAAGGGACGGCUAACUACGUG